rnacentral:rRNA from 1 species
GAUGAACGCUGGCGGCGUGCCUAAUACAUGCAAGUCGAGCGAACGGACGAGAAUCUUGCGUCUCUGACGUUAGCGGCGGACGGGUGAGUAACACGUGGAUAACCUACCUAUCAUACUGGGAUAAUUUCGGGAAACCGUAGCUAAUACCGGAUAAUAUUUUGAACCGCGUGGGUCAAAGGUGAAAGUCGGUCUUUGGGUCUCGUAUAGCGGCAUCCGCGCUGUUUUGUGUAGUUGGGAGGGUAACAGCCUUUCAAGGCUAGCAGGCCUAGCCGACGUCAGGGGGGGAUAGGCCACCUUGGAACGGAGACAGGGUCAAGACUCCUACGGGAGGGCGCAGUCGGGAAUCUUCCGCAAUAGGCGAAAGCCUGACAGAGCAACGCGGCGUGAGUGAUGAAGGUCUUCGGAUCGUAAAGCUCUGUUAUUGGGGAAGAACAUAUGUGGACUUAGCCGUGGACAGCUUGACGGUACCUAAUCAGAAAGCAACGGCUAACUACGUG